rnacentral:rRNA from 1 species
GAUGAACGCUGGCGGCGUGCCUAAUACAUGCAAGUCGAGCGAACAGACGAGGAGCUUGCUCCUCUGACGUUAGCGGCGGACGGGUGAGUAACACGUGGAUAACCUACCUAUAAGACUGGGAUAACUUCGGGAAACCGGAGCUAAUACCGGAUAAUAUAUUGAACCGCAUGGUUCAAUAGUGAAAGACGGUUUUGCUGUCACUUAUAGAUGGAUCCGCGCCGCAUUAGCUAGUUGGUAAGGUAACGGCUUACCAAGGCGACGAUGCGUAGACGACCUGAGAGGGUGAUCGGCUACACGGGAACAGAGACACGGUCCAGACUCCUACGGGAGGCAGCAGUAGGGAAUCUUCCGCAAUGGGCGAAAGCCUGACGGAGCAACGCCGCGUGAGUGAUGAAGGUCUUAGGAUCGUAAAACUCUGUUGUUAGGGAAGAACAAAUGUGUAAGUAACUAUGCACGUCUUGACGGUACCUAAUCAGAAAGCCACGGCUAACUACGUG